ACUCAAGUACUGGCUUCAGAGGGUUGUGGGAAUGCAAUGAAAGCCUUUACUGCAUAGUAAGCACAGGCUUUGCCUCUAAGUGGGUUUCAAGCAGCAGCAGGUGAGAGUGGCCUUUAGUAAGUGCAUGUUGAAGAAGUACGCGAUGGAAAAGGUUUUUACAGGGGGUUUGCUGAAGACGCGCUUUAAUUUGUGUGCAUGCGUAGCAGAGGGCGUGGGAUCCCCUGGCACCGAGUCGUAGGUGGUCGCGAUCUGCCUGAUGUGGGUGCUGGCAACCUAACUCGGUUCUUCUGGAAGAGCAGCAAGUGCUCCUGAGUGCUGAGCCAUGGCUCCAGCCGCUCACAGGCGCUCUUAUUUCUUAAAAGGCAAAUGGAUACUUUGUACUUGUUCGGCUAGAAGGGAUGAAACGUGUGCUGGACAGUCUCAGUUUGUAAUCCUACUGGGGACUGACCCCGUGGCGCUCGUAGACUUUGACAUGUCCCAGCUUUUUGGUGGAGUUUGGGGGAUCGGAUAUGGCUUUAUCUAGUGAAUGAACUCCGUGGCGGGGCAGUGUGUCACUAGCAACAGGAUUGCCAGCAGAACGUCACCCAGAGAGGCCCAGACUCCUGCAUCUGGGGAGAAAGGAGAUGGCUGCUGGGGAGAAAGCCACUGAAAUCAGAGCUGGGCACAUGAAUUUGGGGCCAGUUUGUGUCAGUUCCAAGCCCUUGAUGAGUUAGUGUAUCGACUAUCCCAGUCCUCUGACUUGUUCUGUACAGAAAAAGCUGAUCUCUCUUGCAUUGUCUGUCUAGCUUGCUGUCAGUCUAUGUGGAAGUUACCACUUCAUACUAGUCAUUUUCCAGUUUUUUCUUUCCUUUUAUUUUAUUUUUGUGAUAACAAUAUAAUUACAACAUUUCUUCCUUCCUUUUCGCCCCUCAAAACUGUCCCAUAUGUCCUUUCCUACUGUCCUUUCAAUUCAGGAUUCUUUGUUUCACAAGUUGUUAUUGCACGCAUAUAUGUAUAUAUUCCUAAAUAGAACCUGUUCCUUCUCUAUAAUGUUACUUGUGUGUAUGUUUUCAGAGCUGACUGUUCAGCACUGGACAACCAGUUGGUGUCUCUUCCUCGGGGAAUACUAUGUCUUCUGUUCCCAGCUUUUCAUAGUUGCCAGUAGUUUUUUUGUGUAGGGUUGAGACUUCAUGGGUUUUUUCCAGUCCAGUUCGCCUUGUUCAUUGGUGUCAUCCUUGUUCAGCACUCAUUUAGGCUGUCAUGUUGGUGAGACAUUAUGGGUGUGCUUUCUGACAUUAGUAAGAGACACAAUCUCACAGCAAAGUCUCUGGUCCUCUGGCUCUUACAUUCUUUAUGCCCCCAAUCUUUGCCCCUGUUCCCUGAACCAUUACAGAAGGUCCCCUUGACUUGGGAUUUAUUUAUUAUAUAUUUAUUCAUUUAUUACCAUAGUUUUGAUUUUGUAUAUAUACUGAAAUUUUGGGUAAUUUCUUUCCAAUUUUGAUAGUACAUAUGAGAAUGUAAUUCCACUUCCUGCUUGGUAACGCAAUUUGGGGUAUAUUUAAUGCUGCCACACCAGUGGAUUGAGGAGAGGGUGCCAUUUCCCCUUGUCUUUACAUAAAUGAACCAUUGUUUCACUCCACAAGGACAAUUCAACUCUGCACAGCAGGAUAGAGAGAGCCAACUAACAAUGUAUAGCCUAGGGCCUCAACUCCCAUCUAGUUUUCCUAGAGAAGUAAGUGGGAACAGGGCUUAGACUCUAGGCUUUUUCUGCUAAGCCACAAAAACUGAUUCCUAUAGUGCUUUCUGGUCAUUUAUUUAGAGGAAAGAAUCAUAUACAGGUUUUAAAGGCAUGGACUCCAAAGGGAGAUAUUUUUUGGCUCAGUUCCAGAUUCUACCAUAUAUGAGAUUAAAAUCCUUGGGAUGUUGCUGAAUCACUGCUAUCUAUGAAAUCAUGGAGACUAUACUUGUCAGGCACAGUUACCAGCUCUCUAUCACAAGAGAUUACAUUACAUUUCCUGUCAUUUAUGGGAAUAAAUUCAAACACUUUUACCCAUUUUCCACCUGGUCUUCCACAAUGUUUCCUGGGCCUUGGAAGAGGUUAUAUAGAUGUCCCUUAUAAGGGCCAGAAGAGGGCGCCAGAUCUCAUUACGGAUGGUUGUGAG